GCGCCGGUAGCCCAGUGGUAGAGCGUCCGUCUAGUUUAGGAAGGCCAUAGGUUCGACUCCUAGCCAGUCCA